UGGUGUGUUGUAUCAUUGGCACUCAUACCACAUCUUCCUAUAUCUAUUAACAAGCUAUGCAUUUCCAUAGAAAUACCAAAACGAGGACAUAGCUCAUAAGAGCACUGGUGGCAGGGUGAAGUAAUUGUUCUUCUUUUAAUGUAUCCUUAAUAUUUUCAGACACACCUUGGUGUAAUUCUGAAAGUCUUAACAUAGACUUCAAUUUUCCUGCAGCAGAUAUGGCAUCCCCUAAAUUGAGUUCAGAGCUAAACUCUUUAUUUUAUAUCCCUUGGCCCCACUGUGUCUGAAUUGUAAGGUGUCACAAUAUCUAGUUAGUUC
rnacentral:lncRNA from 1 species